CUCUUGCUCUUUCAUUUCUCCUCUUUAAAUUCAUCAUCUUGGGCGUCCAAACAAAGAUAGAAGUGGAGAUAUUUCUCCUCCUCUCUUGAUGAAGAGCUUCCUUAGAGUUUGGUGAAGCUUAGAGGAUGUGAGACUUCAAGCAAAAGGGAAAGAGCCAGUGGAGAAGUAACAUAGGAGGGUCUUAGCUCACCAAGUUUGAAUUAGGGACUCGAUGCAGCUUGGAGUGAAAUCAGGAAGAAAACAAGUAAAAUACAUUGAAAGUGCUAAGUGUUCAAGCUGGA